rnacentral:pre_miRNA from 1 species
AGUGGAAAAACUGGGUCAAUUGGUGGUUCUAUUCCAAGUUUUAUGAGAAAUCUCUAUACUGCUUUCCAUAGUGGUUGCACCAAUUUGCAUUCCCACCAGCAAU